GAUGAACGCUGGCGGCGUGCCUAAUACAUGCAAGUCGAGCGAACAGACGAGGAGCUUGCUCCUCUGAUGUUAGCGGCGGACGGGUGAGUAACACGUGGAUAACCUACCUAUAAGACUGGGAUAACUUCGGGAAACCGGAGCUAAUACCGGAUAAUAUAUUGAACCGCAUGGUUCAAUAGUGAAAGACGGUCUUGCUGUCACUUAUAGAUGGAUCCGCGCCGCAUUAGCUAGUUGGUAAGGUAACGGCUUACCAAGGCAACGAUGCGUAGCCGACCUGAGAGGGUGAUCCGCCACACUGGAACUGAGACACCGUCCCGACUCCUACGGGAGGCAGCAGUUGGGAAUCUUCCGGCAUGGGCGAAAGCUUGACGGAGCAACGCCGCGUGAGUGAUGAAGGUCUUCGGAUCGUAAAACUCUGUUAUUAGGGAAGAACAAAUGUGUAAGUAACUAUGCACGUCUUGACGGUACCUAAUCAGAAAGCCACGGCUAACUACGUG
rnacentral:rRNA from 1 species